rnacentral:rRNA from 1 species
CGGCUACACAUGCAGUCGAGCGGUAGCACAGAGAGCUUGCUCUCGGGUGACGAGCGGCGGACGGGUGAGUAAUGUCUGGGAAACUGCCUGAUGGAGGGGGAUAACUACUGGAAACGGUAGCUAAUACCGCAUAACGUCGCAAGACCAAAGUGGGGGACCUUCGGGCCUCAUGCCAUCAGAUGUGCCCAGAUGGGAUUAGCUAGUAGGUGGGGUAAUGGCUCACCUAGGCGACGAUCCCUAGCUGGUCUGAGAGGAUGACCAGCCACACUGGAACUGAGACACGGUCCAGACUCCUACGGGAGGCAGCAGUGGGGAAUAUUGCACAAUGGGCGCAAGCCUGAUGCAGCCAUGCCGCGUGUAUGAAGAAGGCCUUCGGGUUGUAAAGUACUUUCAGCGAGGAGGAAGGCGUUAAGGUUAAUAACCUUGGUGAUUGACGUUACUCGCAGAAGAAGCACCGGCUAACUCCGUGCCAGCAGCCGCGGUAAUACGGAGGGUGCAAGCGUUAAUCGGAAUUACUGGGCGUAAAGCGCACGCAGGCGGUCUGUCAAGUCGGAUGUGAAAUCCCCGGGCUCAACCUGGGAACUGCAUUCGAAACUGGCAGGCUAGAGUCUUGUAGAGGGGGGUAGAAUUCCAGGUGUAGCGGUGAAAUGCGUAGAGAUCUGGAGGAAUACCGGUGGCGAAGGCGGCCCCCUGGACAAAGACUGACGCUCAGGUGCGAAAGCGUGGGGAGCAAACAGGAUUAGAUACCCUGGUAGUCCACGCCGUAAACGAUGUCGACUUGGAGGUUGUGCCCUUGAGGCGUGGCUUCCGGAGCUAACGCGUUAAGUCGACCGCCUGGGGAGUACGGCCGCAAGGUUAAAACUCAAAUGAAUUGACGGGGGCCCGCACAAGCGGUGGAGCAUGUGGUUUAAUUCGAUGCAACGCGAAGAACCUUACCUACUCUUGACAUCCAGAGAACUUAGCAGAGAUGCUUUGGUGCCUUCGGGAACUCUGAGACAGGUGCUGCAUGGCUGUCGUCAGCUCGUGUUGUGAAAUGUUGGGUUAAGUCCCGCAACGAGCGCAACCCUUAUCCUUUGUUGCCAGCGGUCCGGCCGGGAACUCAAAGGAGACUGCCAGUGAUAAACUGGAGGAAGGUGGGGAUGACGUCAAGUCAUCAUGGCCCUUACGAGUAGGGCUACACACGUGCUACAAUGGCAUAUACAAAGAGAAGCGACCUCGCGAGAGCAAGCGGACCUCAUAAAGUAUGUCGUAGUCCGGAUUGGAGUCUGCAACUCGACUCCAUGAAGUCGGAAUCGCUAGUAAUCGUAGAUCAGAAUGCUACGGUGAAUACGUUCCCGGGCCUUGUACACACCGCCCGUCACACCAUGGGAGUGGGUUGCAAAAGAAGUAGGUAGCUUAACCUUCGGGAGGGCGCUACCACUUU